GUUAAGACCUAUAGAGCGCCUGUCAGGUUAACUGUUCUAUAUAUUUUACAUAAAAAAUAUGACUUUAGAUAUAGAUCGUUUUUCUUAGAUGAGCGAUCUUUAACAUAAUUAAAAAAUAAUUAUAAUAAUAAUAAAUCUUACCUUAUAAAAUGCUCCGUAAAAAACUAAAACCCUACUCCUCAACCUGCACGCCGCUCUCCCUUCUCCUCUUCUUUCUCUCUCUUCCUUCUCUCCUCUCAUCUCCAUGCCUCUUUCUCAUCUUUCAUCUCAUCUUCUCAAACUAAAAAAUAAAAUAUGAAACAAAAAUCAUAAUUACGCAAGUAAAUCUAUUUUUCGGUUUUACAAUCAAGAUCAACGCAUGGUCACUUGUAUCUUUCCCUCAAAUUUUCAAAAAUUAAAUGCGAUUUCAUUCAAUCUAGAUCUGAUAAUUGUAGUUCAAAGAAAUGUUGAAGGUUUAGAGCCGAAAAAUGAAUUCAAUUUGAUUACAUUCAAGUCAGUUUCAACGAACCGGUAAUGCUCCGUUGCAACGCCGCCGUAGAUCGAGCCGGAUAAACCGUCGUCGUAUGAUUUGGAUGCGUUGUAAUGAGGUGUUGCUGCUAUGAAACGGAUUAUAGAGUCCAAAGAUGCAUAAAGGUGUUUGAUGCGACUUCUCUAUUUUGUGCCUUAUUAAUGGAAAAGGUGGUUGAGGCUAGUGAAGGCUAGAUCUAAGUGCUGCUAGUGGUGUGGAGGUUUUGACUUUUGAGGGCAAUUCAAGUCGUUGCACAGUUGUUACCCUAUUGAUAAUUAAUUUGUUGUGUUAGAAAAUUUGUAAUGUAAUUAUUUUUAUCAAGGAAUUUAGUUAUUAUCAUUCAAAUAUUUGUAUUU